rnacentral:lncRNA from 1 species
AUAUACUACAAAGUAUACAAACUAUGAAGAGAAGAAGAGUUUAAACUAAAUCAAAGACUUUGUCGAAGGAAGAUUCAGCUGCAAAAGAGUGGAUAAGAAUUAUGAAGACUUGGUCUUCCUUAGGUUGAGCAUGUUAGUUAAAUCUCUUAACCAACAUCUAAACUUUGGCUCUAAGAUUGACCUAGUAACCACAUCCAUAUCCUAUGAUCUCAACCAUAUUUUUCUUGUCCACCAACUAUAUAUUGGAUCUAUAAAUAGGGGCAAAGCUUCCUCCAUUCAAUACCAAUUCAUUCAAGCAAAAUACGAGUGCAGGAGCUUGAAGCUAAUAUUCAAAUAUCUGGCACGACAUUUAGUUCAAAACACAUCUUAAGUGGGAGACUCGUUUGUUAGGGCUUGUCACUAGCUAGGUUUGUAUAUUUGACAUUCAUAGAUAUAAUUAAGAACAUCUGAAUUUAAUUUUAGAUAUAAUUGAAAACAUCAUAAACACGUGAAUUCUUCACAUUAAUCUAAUUUAUGGAGAAGGAAAAAAUUACCCUUUUGUGAUUUAUCUUCUUAUCUUUGCUCGUCUUGAUCGACUUUAUGAUUCAAUCCUCCCUUCUCAUCAUAUUAGCUCGUCUUGAUCCUCCGUUGAAUCCUUUGAUUUGAAUGAAGGGUAAUUGGGAUAUAUUUCAAGUCAAAAGAGAUAUGAAAAGAAUCUUACAGUUGACUAAAACUUAACAAGGAAACCAAAAUUAAAAUCUUGAUAAAAUUAAUCUCAUCUUUACAUAAUGAUGACUAUACGUAUCUGGUGGCUUAGAAAAUUGUAAUAUCGCUGGAGUAAUUCUUGAAGAUGAGUUCUUAACUUGACUUUUUUUUAAUUGUAAUAUCAAAUUUAAAAUGGUGUCACGAUAGAUUUAUUCAAGCUUCCAGAAUGAUUAAUUUUCGGCUUAAUAAAAUUUUAUGAAGCGCAAAAUUUUAAAUUUUUUAUACAAAAACCCCGCAUAGUUAUGCUGAGUUUUCAUAUUAUUCAAGGAAAAUUACCUUUUUCUGAAAUUUCUUCUUAUCUUUGCUCCCUCUCUCCUUGGGUAGGUUAAAUAGAAACAACAAAAUACUUAAUUUUCAAGAAAUGUAACUUAAACAAUUGUAAUAGAAGACAAAAAGGGAGACAGACAGAUGCCCACCUUCUAUAUUAUAAUUCAAUUAUUUAUUCAAUACUAGCUAGUCAAUAUUUUGAGCUUUAAGUAUCAACUAAUACAUCCUAAGGGGCCGUUUGAUUUGCAGUUUAGGAUUGAUUAGGAUUAAAAUUAUCUUGAGAAAUUAGUGUAGAUUAGUGUGGAUUUAUUUUAUUUCAUAGGUGUUUGAAAUAAUGUCUUCUUAGCUGUAAUCCACGCAUUAUUAUUAUAUAUUGAGGCAGCACGCUAAUGUAGCAAAAACCUUUUAGUCAUACAAAUAAAAUAUGAAAAUAAUAGCCUUUCUGACCAAAAUACUCUUUAAUUGUGUAACAGUAUAAAAUAUACUGUUACACACUUUUUCGCAAUUACACACUUUUACGUUAUUACACAUUUUUAUCGCGAUUAUUACUAGAUUUUUGAAAAAGUGCGUAAUAGUGUAUUUUACACUGUUACACACUUUUUCGUAAUUACACACUUUUAGUGUAAAAUAUCAUUGAAAAAAAUUGAAUUUCAAAUGCUCAAAUGCAAAUCGAACGAUUUGAAAAGUAGCUCAGUUGAUAAGAUGUUUGGAGUCGCAAACACAAAUAGAACAAUUCAAACACAAACAGAAGAAUUGAUCAGCUCAAGUCUAUUUUCUUGGGAAAAAGAAAAUACUAAUAGAAAGAAAUCGGCCUCACUGCUUGUAGAGGAGUUUGAGUAAUCGGAAUCUUCUUCUUAAUUAUCUUAUGAUAUUUUGAAUUGAUACAACUAACUCUGAUUCCAUUUUGACAAUGUAUAGUAAAUAAGAUAACAUACCUGGAAUGCUAGCGUGAUUAGGGCUCUGAAUAGUGAAUUUUCUGAGUAGAAAGUUUAUGAAUAAUUAUAGUAUUGAACAUUGAAGAAGCCAAAUAAUGUGCAUAAUUAAUUCACAACCGCAAAUAAAAUAAUAAGAUAAGGAGGAGCUUAUAUGAAGCAUUGACUUAUUGUUUCACAGAUAAAAUUUGAAGGAUGAAAAACAAGUUAGAAAGAUAUCUAAAUACCUUUUUGUGGUUCUUCUUCUUACUCGUCUGGAUCUACUUUCCGAAUCAAUCAAUCCUCCCUUUUCCUUAGCUUUUGCUUUGGUUUAUUGAUAUACGAUUCCAAAAGUCUUCUGUUACAAUGGUAAAUACAAAAAGAGUUGGUGGAUUCGACUAUUGAAGUCUUUCAAUUAUUAUAAAUUCAUUAUUUUCCGCAGCGUGCACGUUUUCACAAGAAACGAGGUGUUGAAUUACUGUUUCCGACAUAAGAUUGUGAAAAACAAGCAACAGUUAACCAAUAUCGAUUCUACCACCAAAACAUCUUAAUAUUUCUUUUACUUGUUAAAAUAUUGAAGAUCCAAUAUUUCUGGCUCGGGAUGAAGUUGGAUUCACAGUAUUACUGUAAAGGUGCGUUCUCUUUAGUCGAUUAAUUGAAAAACAGGAGAGCAAAAAAAAAAAAACAAAAAAAAAGUUUUCAAAUGCUCAAACACAAACAUUACAGUUGAAGAAGCAGCUAAGUAGGUGAGACUUUUCCCACCAACCAUUAAGUUGGAGUUUUGUGUCACACAAAGGAAAAAUGGAUUAUUCAUACUUCAAAACAAACACGAAUAGAAGAAUAUAAUUCAGCUCAAGUCUAUUUUCUUGGCAAAAAAGAAAAUCAUAGAAAGAAAUCAGCCUCGCUGCUUGUAGAGAAGCUUGAGUAAUCGGAAUCAUCUUAUUAUCUUAUGAAAUUUUCAAUUGAUACAACUAACUCUGAUUCCAUUUUAACAACGGUAAAUAAGCAUAUUUAAAAUAACAUACCUGGAAUGCUAGCGACGGACCAAGGACGGAGGAGCAGUGGUUGGGGGAUGGAGGCGCGGCGGAAUCCGGUGGUGUUUACUGUGAUUAGAUUUAGGGCUCUGAACAGUGAAUAUUUAUGAAUAAUUAUAUUGAAAGUCCAGUUGAAGAAGCCAAAUAAUGUGCAUAAUUAAUUAACAACGGCUAAUAAAAUAAUAAGAUAAUGACGAGCUUAUAUGAAUCCAGCUGAAGCAUUGACU